rnacentral:piRNA from 1 species
UUGUGACAAUUCUUGGAGGUC